CUCUUUCAAGGUGAUGGUGAUCCACCUUUUCCAACCGCCACGUUUUUUGUGGAUGAUGACGCCUGAUAUGCU
rnacentral:ncRNA from 2 species